CCGGGUGGGGGGUGGAGGGUGGGGGACGCUGGGUGGAAGGAAGGCGGAUUAGAGGAGCCACUGGUUGAAUUAGUAUCUGUGGGAAUCCAGAGGAGUAGAGAGAGAAAGGAAAGGCAAGAGGGAGAAGGAGGUAAAAAAGAAGAAAGAGUCGACUUUCAUGCCAAUCAUUGGAACAAAUAGCUAACAUUUAACGUUUACACGCGCUCUGGCGACGCCCUGGCGCUCCGAGGACCCGGGGCAGGGCUAAAAUGUCCCGAAAGCCUUUGGAGAAAACGAGUUUCCAGCUAUCAGGUUUGUCCCUUCUCUACAGGUGCCAGCCGCCUGGCCUGACCCCAGCUCUCAUCGCCUCCAGGAGGACGCUUUCUCUGGUGCGAACUUUGACGGUGGGAGUGUCAAGAAAGACAAGCAGAUAGAUCAUGACAGAAGCGAUC
rnacentral:lncRNA from 12 species